UCGUCCUUAGAAAAGAGAGGUCAUUGAAGAGUUUUCAGAGGGAGAAGGGCAAGGUCAGGUUUGUUUCAGAAAGGUGGUGCUGGUGAGCUAGAGUGCCAGCACUGUAUUCUAGCAGAAAUAACAUCCAGGGGCCAGUGGCAAGGACAGGCAUUCCCAAGCUCAGAUGUCAACAGGGCAGAUAAAAAAAAAAAAAAAAAAAAAAAGUCUGCAGCUCAGAAGUCAUCUGUAGAUUUGAGGGCCAUUAGCCAAACACAGAGAUGAAAUGGAGUCACUCAAGGACAUCUAGACUGGCCAAGGCAUGUAGGAGAGGCAAAGGCUGAUCAUAGCCAGCUUUCAAAAAUGUUCCGUGAAGGACGGAACAUCCUCAGAGGAGAGAUGGCUUCAGAGCACAUUCUCUGCUAAGACAAACACCAACAAGCAUUUCAACCAACUGCAACGACUUGCAAUAAAUCCUGUAAGCGA